UUGAUACUGUUUUUCUUGAAUAAACUAUAAAGAAUUUUGCUUGAGGACAAACAAAGAUUUAAGUGUAGGAGAAUUUGAUCACACUGAAUCACACCGUAUUUUUGACUCGGAUUUCACAUGUUUAUUAGGACUUUAUUAUCAUUUUGUUUGUAUUAUGCUCUCUUUUAUGUUGUUUUCAGAUAUUUAGCUCUUUCGGGACCCUUUUAGAAGAAACGAAACAAAAAAAUCAAAAAUGAGGGUUUUUCGGCAAAUAUUAUACACAUGGCGUUGCACAUGGCGGCCGCUAUAGGAGAAGCCAUGACUCAUCAGCCCUCAACCAGGGGGUAAUCCGUCACAUCGGGGGGUUAUCUCACUUUAGUGAGAUUGAGACGGUAUGUACGCUCUUGUCAUGAAUAGAUCAAAAUGAGUCUUGAGGUCAUCACAGGGAGAGCCAGCCGUUGAGGUUACAAAUGAAGGUGUUGAUGCUGCAGGGCAUACAAUUGGUACAUCUUUGGAGGUUGUGUUCAAACUUAGGAAGGUUCUCAACCCCAAGAGUGUGAUCAAACCAACAUCACUAGGUAAAGAUUAUUUUGAAUCCAUAACUAACUUGAUCGUCCGAUACUUUGUAGGUACCACACCUUUGCUAUGACCAUGUCAGUCUUGAGGUCCUUAGAGGGAUUUGUCAUUGUCUCAGCUUUACUCGAUACAACAUUGCUACAGUUCAUUUAAAAUUAUCCAUCUCCUUCUGCAAUCUAUAAGAAAAAUUGCACGGUUGACUUAAUAUAUCCUUGUUAUGGUUUUAUGGACAAUCUUUCUCAAUUAUUAUUAUUUGAUUGUGCAAUUGUGAAGUUGUUAUGAUCUGCUUGUGAUUAGUAUGUUCUUUUAUUUACCAAAAUUAUUUUGAAUUCAUAACUAACUUGAUCGUCGGAGUUUUUGCAGGUACCACACCUUUGGUAUGUCAUGCUAUGCUCAUGAGUAUGAUGAAACAGAAAGGAAAUGCAACAACUUGAAAUUUCCAGUGCCUUGUUCUGGUCAUUGCUAUCCAUAUGUGGGAUUUGUCAUUGUCUCAGCUUUACUCGAUACAACAUUGCUACAGUUCAUUUAAAAUUAUCCAUCUCCUUCUGCAAUCUAUAAGAAAAAUUGCACGGUACCACACCUUUGCCGUGUCAUGCUAUGUUCAUGAGUAUGAUGAAACAGAAAGGAAAUGGUAGGAAGUUUGGUUUGCUGUGAUCGGUUCCAUGAGAUUUAGAAAGUGAUGCAGGGACGCCUUUGAUCAUGCUCAACAAGCUGCUAGAGUGUUCAAGAACAGAAGCAGCCUGCGGUCUACCCUAUUGGAAGCACCAUCCGUUCCUCAACCCAACUACGAGUGGAUGAGUGUCAUUGACUCGAGGGCUUGCUGGAACAUUGGAAAUGGGCAGAGGGUGAAAAUGUUGGGUGACAACUGGUUCCUGGGUCAGGCGGAGUUUGAAGUGUGGAGUCAUGCCUCAACCCUAGUGAUUCGGUUGAUCGAAGAUGACGCAAACAGUG